CCGGAUCGASUAUUAAGGCACGCCUGCCCGGUGAUAAUUAAACGGCCGCGGUACCCUAACCGUGCAAAGGUAGCGUAAUCAUUUGUCUACUAACUAUAGACCUGUAUGAAAGGCAAAAUGAAGGUCUAACUGUCUCUUAUAAUAAAUCAAUGAAACUGAUCUCCUAGUCAAAAAGCUAGGAUUACCCCACAAGACCAGAAGACCCUGUGAAGCUUAAACUAAACUAUUAAAACCCAUAAUAGCUACUUUCGGUUGGGGCGACCUUGGAAAUAAAAAGAACUUCCAAACCAAAUGAUUAUACUCAUAUAAACCAGGCCCACAAGCCAAUAAAUGACCCAGUACAGCUGAUAAUUGAACCAAGUUACUCCAGGGAUAACAGCGCAAUCUUCUUCAAGAGCCCAUAUCAGAAAGUAAGGUUUACGACCUCGAUGUUGGAUCAGGACAUCCUAAUGGUGCAGCAGCUAUUAAGGGUUCGUUUGUUCAACGAUUAACAGUCCUACGUGAUCUGAGUUYCAGACCGGRAGGUUUACGACCUCGAUGUUGGAUCAKGACWUCCUAWUGGKGCACCRGCUAURARGGGUUCGUUUGUUCAACGAUUAAKAGUCCUACMUGAUCSGAGGUCAGACCGG
rnacentral:rRNA from 1 species